GUCGCCAUAGCUCAACGGUAGAGCAGAAUACUGUUAAUAUUUUGAUAGAUGUUCGAGUCAUCUUGGGGACU
rfam:Dactylellina haptotyla CBS 200.50 unplaced genomic scaffold scaffold00324, whole genome shotgun sequence.